rnacentral:rRNA from 1 species
UACGUAGGGUGCGAGCGUUAAUCGGAAUUACUGGGCGUAAAGGGCGCGUAGGCGGCCUGUUAAGUCGAACGUGAAAUCCCCGGGCUCAACCCGGGAACUGCGUCCGAUACUGGCAGGCUUGAAUUCGGGAGAGGGAUGCGGAAUUCCAGGUGUAGCGGUGAAAUGCGUAGAUAUCUGGAGGAACACCGGUGGCGAAGGCGGCAUCCUGGACCGAGAUUGACGCUGAGGCGCGAAAGCCAGGGGAGCAAACGGG